rnacentral:tRNA from 1 species
ACGGCUAUAAGUUAAUGGUAGACCAACCGUCUUCCAAACGGUCUGUGUCAGUUCGAAUCUGACUAGCCGUA